CAGGAAUAGAUCUACAAAAUGUUUUGAGAAGCCUUGAAUUGGCAUGGAGGGAACGUCUGAAGAUCCCUAACUAGACUGUACUCAUUUUCACAUGGACUGAGCAAUCUCAUUUCAGACAACUGUGACUACAAGGUGCAAUUCUUCAAUCGCAGGAUCAACCUUGGGCAACCUGCUCUGGCAGAAGAUGUCCCUGCUCAUUGCAGGGGACUUGGAACUAAAUGAUCUGUAAGGUUCCUUCCAACACAACCCAUUCUACAAUUAGUUGCUUACUCAAAAUCACAGAAUGUCAGGGCCUCGAAGGAACCUUGAAA